rnacentral:tRNA from 1 species
CCUCCUUAAACGAAACGGACUCAUUUUGGUCAGAGUUCACACGAAUUGCUUGGUUGGUAUUUAGAGAGCGAAAGGGCAUAGGCCCUAGAAGGCCUGUAGCUCAGGUGGUUAGAGCGCACCCCUGACAAGGGUGAGGUCGGCAGUUCAAGUCUGCCCAGGCCUACCAAUUUUCCAUUAUGCUUCGNUAACGCAUUGCUCACGUACUGUUAGUACGCGACGCAAGACGUUCCUCGCCUAAUAGAAAAUAUACCUUAUUAAGGUUUGCAAAAACCGCUGUAAAUUGGGGCUAUAGCUCAGCUGGGAAAGCGCCUGCCUUGCACGCAGGAGGUCAGCAGUUCGAUCCUGCUUAACUCCACCAAUUUCUUCUGCUCAUAACUAAAAUUAUUCCAUAAAAGGCGUUGGCUUUUGUUGAGUUGUUUUAGUUCUGAUCAGAGAUCAGAAAGCUCUUUAACAAUUUGGAANUGUGAUAGUAAAAAAGGCAUUGUUAAGUAGUUGUGGAUCACUAAUUGAUGAAGCAAUGCUAAAAUAAUAUUGUGCCCCAUCCCCUAUCCCCCAUUGGGGGUAUGUAAAAA